AUGGGAGCUUUCCCUUCACUGCCCCCAUGGGGGUGGUCCACAAGGUUCAUAACUACCCCUCUCACUACGGGGCAUUUACCAAGCCAACACUUAGAUCCGGCUGUACCCAAACUUUUUUGGUUCGCCCCAACAUUACCCACUUGUCCGACUGUUGCUAAGCAGUUUUGGGAUACUAAACGGACCUCCCCAGAUAGUAAUCUUAAAGUGGCCGAUUUACCCUCUUUUGCAAUGAUUUUUGCUACAGCACCUGCUGCUCUAGCUAAUUGCCCACCCCUUCCACGUGUGAUUUCUAUGUUAUGCAUGGCCGUGCCUAAGGGCAUAUCGGUUGAAGUAGAUUCUUCUUUUCUCUCAAAAAACCCCUUCCCAAACUGUACAAGCUUCUUCCAAAGCAUACGGCUUUCUAGAUGUAUAUGA
rnacentral:rRNA from 1 species